rnacentral:rRNA from 1 species
AUAAGCGGAGGAAAAGAAACCAACAGGGAUUGCCUCAGUAACGGCGAGUGAAGCGGCAACAGCUCAAAUUUGAAAUCUGGCCCUUUCAGGGUCCGAGUUGUAAUUUGUAGAGGGCGCUUUGGCGUUGGCAGCGGCCUAAGUUCCUUGGAACAGGUCAUCAUAGAGGGUGAGAAUCCCGUAUGUGGCUGCUUGUCUUCGCCGUGUAAAGCCCCUUCGACGAGUCGAGUUGUUUGGGAAUGCAGCUCUAAAUGGGAGGUAAAUUUCUUCUAAAGCUAAAUAUUGGCCAGAGACCGAUAGCGCACAAGUAGAGUGAUCGAAAGAUGAAAAGCACUUUGGAAAGAGAGUCAAAAAGCACGUGAAAUUGUUGAAAGGGAAGCGCUUGCAGCCAGACGUGCCCGCGGUUGAUCAGCUGAGGAUUUUCUCCAGCGUACUCUUCUUGUCGGGCAGGCCAGCAUCAGUCCGGGCGGUCGGAGAAAGACCUGUGUCACGUAGCUGCUCUCGGGCAGUGUUAUAGGGCAGGUGGAAUACGACCAGCCUGGACUGAGGUCCGCGCAUCUGCUAGGAUGCUGGCGUAAUGGCUGUAAGCGGCCCGUCUUGAAACACGGACCAAGGAGUCUAACAUCUAUGCGAGUGUUUGGGUGUCAAGCCCGAGCGCGUAAUGAAAGUGAACGGAGGUGGGAACCCUCGGGUGCACCAUCGACCGAUCCUGAUGUCUUCGGAUGGAUUUGAGUAAGAGCAUAGCUGUUGGGACCCGAAAGAUGGUGAACUAUGCCUGAAUAGGGUGAAGCCAGAGGAAACUCUGGUGGAGGCUCGCAGCGGUUCUGACGUGCAAAUCGAUCGUCAAAUUUGGGCAUAGGGGCGAAAGACUAAUCGAACUAUCUAGUAGCUGGUUCCUGCCGAAGUUUCCCUCAGGAUAGCAGUAACGUUUUCAGUUUUAUGAGGUAAAGCGAAUGAUUAGAGGCCUGGGGGCUGAAACAGCCUUCACCUAUUCUCAAACUUUAAAUAUGUAAGAAGUCCUUGUUUCUUAAUU